rnacentral:misc_RNA from 1 species
GGAAGUAAAGUGUACAAGGUUUCCGUAGGUGAACCUGCGGAAGGAUCAUUAUUGUAUAACCGAGGUGCGAGGGCUGUCGCUGACCCGAAAGGUCGUGCACGCCCGAGUGCCCUCACACACAUCCAUCUCACCCCUAUGUGCACCACCGCGUGGGUCCCCCUUUGGCUUGUUCGGAGGGGGGCUUACGUUUUCACACAAACUUUGUAUGCAGUGUAGAAUGUAUUUUUUGUUUUUGCGAUCACGCAAUCAAUACAACUUUCAACAACGGAUCUCUUGGCUCUC